rnacentral:rRNA from 1 species
CCUACGGGGGGGCAGCAGUGGGGAAUAUUGGACAAUGGGGGGAACCCUGAUCCAGCCAUGCCGCGUGUGUGAAGAAGGCCCUCGGGUUGUAAAGCACUUUCAGUGAGGAAGAACGCCUGGUGGUUAAUACCCAUCAGGAAAGACAUCACUCACAGAAGAAGCACCGGCUAACUCCGUGCCAGCAGCCGCGGUAAUACGGAGGGUGCGAGCGUUAAUCGGAAUUACUGGGCGUAAAGCGCGCGUAGGUGGCUUGAUAAGCCGGUUGUGAAAGCCCCGGGCUCAACCUGGGAACGGCAUCCGGAACUGUCAAGCUAGAGUGCAGGAGAGGAAGGUAGAAUUCCCGGUGUAGCGGUGAAAUGCGUAGAGAUCGGGAGGAAUACCAGUGGCGAAGGCGGCCUUCUGGACUGACACUGACACUGAGGUGCGAAAGCGUGGGUAGCAAACAGGAUUAGAUACCCUGGUAGUC